rnacentral:lncRNA from 1 species
GCAGCCCAUACAAAUUUGAUUGCAAAUUAGGAAUGUAGUAUGUGACACCCGGGCACUGACGAAGGCAGGGAGUGAUCGUCGGUGCAAGAGGCAUGGUGUAGGGGGCACAGACAAGGAGCGGCUCCUGGCAGGCUUCGAGUGGAAGGGGCACAUGGAUGAAUCGAACAUACACCGGACUGAGAGGGAUCUGGAGAUUGUAUAGGUAUGGGACUAUACAGUUGAAGGAUAACUUAAAGAAAUUGAUUUGACUACUCAUAUCAACAAAUGCAUUUGCUUUUCGGUAGCCUAACUCAUAAGAACUCCAUGGUUAAGCGUGCUUAGCCUAGAGUAAUUAUGGGAUGGGUGACCUUCCGAGGAAGUUUUCUUGGAAAGUGUGUGAGUGAGGACAAAACACACUGGAAAGCCUCGUGUUGAUCUGUGGGGGCAGUCAGCAGUCCCUGUAAGUUGUCGGGGCAUUACAAAUGGUAUCAGAGCCCAGCCUCUCCCAGUACGGUGUGGUUCGAGGACGAACCAUGCUUAAUGGUAUAACACGUGAAAAGCUCAAUGAGUAAAACAUAAUAAAAAAAAACCGUGCUACACCUUUUCUAGAAUCACCGCUUCUACCAUUCCUUGCACUAAGACAACACCAAGAAAGAUACUUGAAUAGUAAUAGUGAACAAUAAUAGGACGUAUUUAAAAUGUGCAAAGUGACAAUGAACAUCGAAAACCGUG